rnacentral:rRNA from 1 species
GGGAAUAUUGGACAAUGGGCGAAAGCCUGAUCCAGCCAUGCCGCGUGUGUGAAGAAGGUCUUCGGAUUGUAAAGCACUUUAAGUUGGGAGGAAGGGCAGUAAGUUAAUACCUUGCUGUUUUGACGUUACCGACAGAAUAAGCACCGGCUAACUUCGUGCCAGCAGCCGCGGUAAUA